rnacentral:misc_RNA from 1 species
GUGAAUCAUCAAAUUUUUGAACGCAAAUUGCGCUUCCUGGCAUCCCGGGAAGUAUGCCUGUUUGAGGGUCAGUAUUAAUAAAAAUCCGGCUUAGUUACAAAUUGUCACUUUUCUGGAGUUUGGGCUAUCUUAACAUUUUUGGUUAAGAGGCUUAAAAUUGACCUUUUUCACGCAUUUUUAAACGUACAAAAAUUUUUUUUAUUCGUCUAUUCUUAAUGCCAAAAUCUUAUUAGAAACGACAACAUCGUAUGGCUUCGUGUCUAUAAAUUUUUCA